CCCUUAGAUGUUCGGGGCUGCACAUGCGCUACACUGAAGGAAUCAACGUGUAUUUGCCCUUGCCCGAAAGGGUUGGGUAGCCCGUUGAACCUCCUUCGUGCUAGGGAUUGGGGCUUGUAAUUAUUCCCCAUGAACGAGGAAUUCCCAGUAAGCGCGAGUCAUAAGCUCGCGUUGAUUACGUCCCUGCCCUUUGUACACACCGCCCGUCGCUACUACCGAUUGAAUGGUUUAGUGAGAUCCUCGGAUUGGUCCCGCCACGGGAGGAAACUUUCGAGGCGGAGUGCCGAGAAGACGAUCAAACUUGAUCAUUUAGAGGAAGUAAAAGUCGUAACA
rnacentral:rRNA from 1 species